rnacentral:rRNA from 1 species
ACCCGCUGAACUUAAGCAUAUCAAUAAGCGGAGGAAAAGAAACCAACAGGGAUUGCCUCAGUAACGGCGAGUGAAGCGGCAACAGCUCAAAUUUGAAAUCUGGCUCUUUCAGGGUCCGAGUUGUAAUUUGUAGAAGAUGUUUCGGGUGUGGCUCCGGUCUAAGUUCCUUGGAACAGGACGUCGUAGAGGGUGAGAAUCCCGUAUGUGACUGGCUGCCUCCGCCCAUGUGAAACUCUUUCGACGAGUCGAGUUGUUUGGGAAUGCAGCUCAAAAUGGGUGGUAAAUUUCAUCUAAAGCUAAAUAUUGGCCAGAGACCGAUAGCGCACAAGUAGAGUGAUCGAUAGAUGAAAAGCACUUUGGAAAGAGAGUUAAACAGUACGUGAAAUUGUUGAAAGGGAAGCGCUUGCAAUCAGACUUGCGCGCGGCCGAUCAUCCGGGGUUCUCCCCGGUGCACUCGGUCGCGUUCAGGCCAGCAUCGGUUUGGGUGGUGGGAUAAAGGCCUUGGGAAUGUAGCUUCUUUCGGGGAGUGUUAUAGCCCUCGGUGCAAUGCCGCCUAUCCGGACCGAGGACCGCGCUUCGGCUAGGAUGCUGGCGUAAUGGUUGUAAGCGACCCGUCUUGAAACACGG